rnacentral:rRNA from 1 species
UAGGGAAUAUUGGGCAAUGGAGGGAACUCUGACCCAGCCAUGCCGCGUGCAGGAUGAAGGCGUUAUGCGUUGUAAACUGCUUUUAUAUAGGAAGAAAUAGUCCUUGCGAGGAAAGUUGACGGUACUAUAUGAAUAAGCACCGGCUAACUCCGUGCCAGCAGCCGCGGUAAUACGGAGGGUGCAAGCGUUGUCCGGAUUUAUUGGGUUUAAAGGGUGCGUAGGCGGUUUAUUAAGUCAGUGGUGAAAGACGGUCGCUCAACGAUUGCAGUGCCAUUGAUACUGGUAGACUUGAGUAUGAUUGAGGUAGCUGGAAUGGAUAGUGUAGCGGUGAAAUGCAUAGAUAUUAUCCAGAACACCAAUUGCGUAGGCAAGUUACUAAGUCAUAACUGACGCUGAGCACGAAAGUGUGGGUAUCAAACAGGAUUAGAUACCCAGGUAGUCCCUGAGCGGGCUGGCAAGGCG